AUGGGAAUGACUGUGGUAUCUUCAUGAUCAUGUACAUCUGGUAUAUGGCAAUGGAGGCUUAUUUUGAUUUCACUGUGGUAAGUGUUGCUUAAAAUUUACAUUAUACAGCCUUUCUAAAAACAAGAUAACCUCUUAAUCAUUUCACAUACCUCAUGUAGGUGUAAUCUUGUAGUUACUGACUUGCUGAAUUGUGGUUAUGUGAUUAACUGAUUUGAGUGUUACAGUUUAUAUGAAUUGUUUUAGAGGAGAGUUCUGAUGGAGAAUUUUCAUCUAGAAGAGUAUUUUUUUAUUUUUUAUUAUUUGAAUUAAAUGCUUUUAAUGCAACCGUUUAAAUAAAACCAAAAGGUCUUAUUUUCAAUAAUGUGCAUUUGCAGUCACGGGAAAAGAUUUGCACAUUGGACUGAAGAUGGUAUACAAAAUCUUAAGGGAACUUUUACACCCGUCUUCCACAUACCAAGGAAAAGAAAAUGUCCAGACCCCACAAAGGAUGGCAAGCCAACCAAAAGAAUCCAGACAAAAAAACAUUAUGAAAUGGGCACAACACAGAAAUGGGUACAUCUAUUGUAUGUACAGAUAAAUGAAUAGUUCCCCCAAAUGUGUGUAUGAACUUUGCUAAACGUGUGUGUGUGCAAUUUAAAUUAAAAAAGAGCUUUAUUUAUGUCCGUUCUAAUUCAAAAUUGGAUCACUUCAAAAAACAUUUAUUAACCUGUGUGUGUGUAUUACAAGUAAACUUUGAACAUUGACAUCCUAUGAUCAAUUAAAACUGUCAUUUUAAUGAUUGAAAUAUUUUGAAUAACAAAAAACAUUAGAAAAAUUAAAUACAUUCAUGUCUCUCUUUUUUAUUCAUUUUACAUUAUAGCCAUGAAGACAUACAUUGAACCACUUCAAAAAGCAUAUACAUUUACAGUAUAUCUGACAUUAUUUUACAGUGUAUAUGGUAUCAUGACACUUAACCAAUAAAGUGUGCGAGGUUGUUUUUUUUUUCCA
ensembl:lncRNA